rnacentral:lncRNA from 1 species
GGUUGCAGGAGGGGACCAAUCAGAGGUACCUUCCAUUUUUCAUCUGCAACCAGGUGCAAAGUAAUGACAUGGAUCUGGAGAGAUUCUCUUAGGAGAGAAUCUGGCUAAGUGUCUAGCAGGAUAAUUGAUUAACAAGAUGUUUUGUUUUCAUCAUCUCAGAGAUAAGUACAACUAUUCUGUCAUCUAAUCUGCUAACUCCUACAUUAUCAAUACGCUUUAUUGAGGUAUAAUUGAUAUGCCAAAUAACUGGACACAUUCAACUUGUACAAUUUGAUGAGUUUGGAGAUACACAUACAUCUGUGAAACCAUCACCAAAAUCAAGAUGCUGGUGCCUGCAGUGGAAGCUGCUUGAGAUACAUCUGGUCCAGUCACAGCCUUGAUUGGAGCCAGUGCCUGUGCCAGCACUUGGAGCUGCCUGCCCCACCUCAGCAGCCAGCAUGCCUGAUUGUGCACAGAGGCCAGACCUGUGCUCACUCACUCACACACCCCUCACCACUCCGUGCCUGGCUCACCCUUGGCAGGCAUGGGAUCCCGGCCAGUGGCAUGAGCCAAAAACAGCCUGCUGGGCCAAGUGGGUAAAACAAACCCAGUGGGUGCGAGCAAGACUCAAGCAGAGGCACCACCAGCCGCAGAGGCACCACCAGCCGCUGAGGCACGACCAGCCACAGAGGUUUCUGGCUGGCGAAGCAACACCUGAAGAAUCCUAUGACAUUUUCCUGACUUUGAAAUUUACCCACUUAGUCAAGAAAAUAUGAAGCUAUUCAUUCCCUUUACUUGUCUAGCGGAAUAUUUCCACAUAGAAGAUUUUAGUCUUUGUCAUCAAGACUGCAUAACAUUUAACACCCCUUCCACCACAUCAAAAUGCUACUUAUACAUACAUAAUAAACACUCAGAGAGGAAUGCUGCCUUAGACAUCAUCUUUUCUUCCCUCUGUCUAAAGCAUGAAUGUCCUUAGAUGUUCAUUCAAAAUUAGUGCCAGGGAGUGCUAUUUGGCAAGGCCACUUGGAAUAUAGUAAUUAAUUAGAGUGCGUUUAUUAAAUUAAGCUGAAACUAUC